CCAGCGGUGGAUCCAGCCUCAGAUCCUGGCACGGUGAUAGUUCAAGGCACACCGCCAGGUCCAGCCAUGAUGGGUCACGGCACAGUGAUGUCAGGUCCAGACAUGACGGGUCACGAAACAGGUCCAGACAUGAUGACCGAUCCCAUGGUGAUGCCCACAGUCUCCCGGCCAGGUCCAGACAUGACAGAGCACAGCAUGGUGAUCUCAACAGCCUCCACUAUGACAGGCAUGAUGCAGUGACUGAGACUGGGAGAUGGGCCUUCCCAUUGCCUUGGGAUGGUAAGUAUUGAUCUAUUGGCAGUGGAGAAAACCCUUUUAAUUGUACCACCUUCACUGUUCCCUGUCCACAGAAACUGCUUUUCAGUUAUAGCCGUAGCUUGGUUUCCAUCAUGUUAGAUGAUAUUUCUUUGGACUUUUGUUUCUUUCUUUA